rnacentral:lncRNA from 1 species
AAAUCAGGAGUCAAAUCAAGAACCAAAGGUCUAGGAAGGCAGCUUUAUUGUAGUUUCAGAGUUUCCUCUCAAAAUCUGCAGUGUGCGUACAGUUCACAUUCAUUGCUCACAGAUGAGAGGUCAAGAUGUCCAUCGCCAUUCUCUUCCAGUCUGCUUGCAUAACUUGAACGAGAGCUUGAGACGUUAGAGGCUCAUCAACAAUUAUGAUCAUUCAUGCACAGUCAGUGAGGGUCUACAUUAAAUGUCUCAUUCAAGAUCCCCUAGACCAGCCCAGCUUCAGACCUCCCCCACCUCCUCCUCCCACACUGCCCCUCCUCACCCCCGCCACCCCCAGAAAAUGGCACCAACAAAGUGAAAAUGGAAGAGUUUUGUUGAGCUGUACAGAUUACCUGAACAAGUGUGCAAGGAGAGAAAUGCAUGUUGUGAUCCAGAGGACAAUGAAGAAAUCAGUCUGAUGUGAAAAGAAUACAGGAGAGAAUUGGAGCCAUUGAGCGCUGGGCUCCCACACGUCUGCUUCAAUGGAAAGUUUGGAAGACCUUGGGAUGGGAGAAAUAGAUAGAACAGCAGGGAGGAAAGCCAGAGAAAAAUUCUGCUCUCCCGAGUCUAUUCACAGAGGUAGCCAGGGGUGGGAAUGAGAAAACACCCUGACUUCAUGAGAUUUUUAUUAAGAAGCAGAAGAAGACGUUAAAUAAUGGCUUAUUUGAGUGCACAUCCUCGGCAGGGAAACAACCAAUGAUUGCAGAGAACUAUAUUAUUACUUUGUGUUUGCUUAUCUUUUUCUCUCCUUACCUGAUAAUCAUCUGUAGCUCUAUCUGUCUUUUUAAGGACAUGUAAGAAAAUAGAGAAGGUUACAGAGGACAGUCAAAGAAUUGCAUAUUAUUACCUGGCUUUCCAGAGCUGACUGUGCAAUUGUUUGUUUUUGAUGAGAUAACAAUGAAGAUAGAAUUGUUCAAAGCAAAUGCUGCUCACAUUUCAUCAAGCCAUACCUCACUGCCCCACUCUCACGUACAGCUGCCCCUCCCACCACCAAAGGCUCUCAGGGACACUAGAGCCACUGCCAAUGGAGUGACUGGUGAGAGCACAAAGCCUGUUGUUCACACCCAUCUGGGUCCAAGAGAAGAGAUGGCCUUCCCCCAGAAGCUGGAUCCCGACUCUCCCUUCCAUAGAUGCAAGGCCGCCUGUCGGGUGCUUGAGUUGGUGACAAGAGCUCCAGAGUGGCUGUCAGGAAGGCGAUCAUGUGACGGAUCCUCCGCGUAAGCUCCAGCCCUUUCUCCAGGCUCGCCCUCUGACAGUUAUUACUGCUGCAAUAAAUUCUUCAGUAAAACAAACA